UACGGAGGGAGCUAGCGUUGUUCGGAAUUACUGGGCGUAAAGCGCACGUAGGCGGCUUUGUAAGUUAGAGGUGAAAGCCUGGAGCUCAACUCCAGAACUGCCUUUAAGACUGCAUCGCUUGAAUCCUGGAGAGGUGAGUGGAAUUCCGAGUGUAGAGGUGAAAUUCGUAGAUAUUCGGAAGAACACCAGUGGCGAAGGCGGCUCACUGGACAGGUAUUGACGCUGAGGUGCGAAAGCGUGGGGAGCAAACAGG
rnacentral:rRNA from 1 species